rnacentral:misc_RNA from 1 species
GGAAGUAAAAGUCGUAACAAAGGUUUCCGUAGGUGAACCUGCGGAAGGAUCAUUACAAAAUGUUAUGGGAUGUCCUAACGGGCACCCAAGCAAACACAUCCAUAUUAAACUUUUGAAACAAUUACUAGUCUGAUAAGGCCAUAUGCUGUAAAAAUUUAAAUAUAUUAAAACUUUCAACAACGGAUCUCUUGGCUCUC